AGCAGCGUGGCUCAGUGGAAAGAGCCUGGGCUUGUGAGUCAGAGGUCAUGGGUUCAAGUCCCAGGUCUGCUA
rfam:Ornithorhynchus anatinus chromosome 5, whole genome shotgun sequence.